rnacentral:rRNA from 1 species
UACGUAGGGUGCGAGCGUUAAUCGGAAUUACUGGGCGUAAAGCGUGCGCAGGCGGUUCGUUGUGUCGGUGGUGAAAGCCCCGGGCUUAACCUGGGAAUGGCCAUGGAAACUGGCGAACUGGAGUGUGGCAGAGGGGGGUGGAAUUCCGCGUGUAGCAGUGAAAUGCGUAGAGAUGCGGAGGAACACCGAUGGCGAAGGCAGCCCCCUGGGCUAGCACUGACGCUCAGGCACGAAAGCGUGGGGAGCAAAAGGG